GCGGGCGUAGUAUAGCAGUCAUUACACGGCAUUGCCAAUGCCGAUACGCCAGUGCGACUCUGGUCGCCCGCU
rnacentral:tRNA from 1 species